GAGUUUGAUCAUGGCUCAGAUUGAACGCUGGCGGCAGGCCUAACACAUGCAAGUCGAGCGGAUGACGGGAGCUUGCUCCUUGAUUCAGCGGCGGACGGGUGAGUAAUGCCUGGGAAUCUGCCUGGUAGUGGGGGACAACGUUUCGAAAGGAACGCUAAUACCGCAUACGUCCUACGGGAGAAAGCAGGGGACCUUCGGGCCUUGCGCUAUCAGAUGAGCCUAGGUCGGAUUAGCUAGUUGGUGGGGUAAUGGCUCACCAAGGCGACGAUCCGUAACUGGUCUGAGAGGAUGAUCAGUCACACUGGAACUGAGACACGGUCCAGACUCCUACGGGAGGCAGCAGUGGGGAAUAUUGGACAAUGGGCGAAAGCCUGAUCCAGCCAUGCCGCGUGUGUGAAGAAGGUCUUCGGAUUGUAAAGCACUUUAAGUUGGGAGAAGGGCAGUAAGUUAAUACCUUGCUGUUUUGACGUUACCGACAGAAUAAGCACCGGCUAACUCU
rnacentral:rRNA from 1 species